ACGUAGGUGGCAAGCGUUGUCCGGAAUUAUUGGGCGUAAAGCGCGCGCAGGCGGUCCUUUAAGUCUGAUGUGAAAGCCCACGGCUCAACCGUGGAGGGUCAUUGGAAACUGGGGGACUUGAGUGCAGGAGAGGAACGCGGAAUUCCAGGUGUAGCGGUGAAAUGCGUAGAUAUCUGGAGGAACACCGGUGGCGAAGGCGGCGUUCUGGACUGUAACUGACACUGAGGAACGAAAGCCAGGGGAGCAAACGGGA
rnacentral:rRNA from 1 species